UCCUGUUGCCUACAAGAUAUAGGAUUCUCAGCUGCUCCUCCAUCACCUCGUCUGCCUGCAUGCCGCCAUGCUCCAGCCAUAAACGACAAUGGCUAAACCCCUGAAACUAGGCCAAGAUGUCCCCGCAACACACCCUCCUCGUUUAUAUAAUGUACACAAUGAACUAGAUGACUCCGAGCUCUAACAUAGGAGGCGGCCACUGUCUGCAGAUCUGGCUUCCAGAUUAUUCACCAUGUGGCGACACACCUCGGCCCUCACAAACGCCGAUUUCCCUGCCCUGACGACGACCCUCGGGGAGGCAUCCAAAUGCAGGAACACGGUGCAGCGACUUUAGGCUCAAAGAACCGUUUGUAUCUUGAAGAUCCUUCUAUGGUUGUAAAGCACCGCGCACAUCUGUUUCGUGACCUCUCCCUGAGGCCCUUGUGCUGUGCACUGCCAACCAUUUCCACAUCUGCCCUUCCUGUACUGCAAGGUCCUUUACCAUAAUUUCUUCUUGUCCGAGCACUAGCUGAUGUCAUGACUUUUUACACACUGGAUUUUCAUCAAGUGGGACUCAUUUAAACUGAGAUGAUUCUCCUCCAGUAAACUCCGGAACACCACAGAAAGGUACUUGGUCGCUUCUGUUGCCCAGUGGGCAUGGAAGCCAGGACACACAAGAAAAAGCCCUCAGAUACUGAGCUUCCUACAGCCUAGUGAGUGUUUACACUGAGUAGAGUUCAGAAAAUUGCUUUGUGUAAUUUGGUCUUCCAACUCCUUUAUUUUAUUUCUAAAUUAUAUUCUUAGUAUGAAAACAA